rnacentral:rRNA from 1 species
UACAGAGGUGGCAAGCGUUGUUCGGAUUUACUGGGCGUAAAGGGCGCGUAGGCGGCGCAACAAGUCACUUGUGAAAUCUCCGGGCUUAACCCGGAGCGGUCAAGUGAUACUGUCGUGCUAGAGUGCGGAAGGGGCUACUGGAAUUCUCGGUGUAGCGGUGAAAUGCGUAGAUAUCGAGAGGAACACCUGCGGCGAAGGCGGGUAGCUGGGCCGACACUGACGCUGAUGCGCGAAAGCCAGGGGAGCGAACGGG